rnacentral:rRNA from 1 species
UACGGGGGGGGCAAGCGUUGUUCGGAAUUACUGGGCGUAAAGGGUUUGUAGGUGGCCGGCUAAGUCAGACGUGAAAUCCCUCAGCUUAACUGGGGAACUGCGUCUGAAACUGAUCGGCUCGAGUGCAGGAGAGGAACGCGGAAUUCCAGGUGUAGCGGUGAAAUGCGUAGAUAUCUGGAGGAACACCGGUGGCGAAGGCGGCUCACUGGCUCGUAACUGACGCUCAUGCACGACAGCGUGGGGAUCAAACAGG